UCCGUGAUUGUGCAUCUCCGCUCUCCAGGCGCAGCUCGGAACCCCGUGUGUCUCCCCGGGUCUUUAGAGCCCAGAGACUGCGUUUUAAUAAAUACGAGUGGUGCCAACGCGCUCCACCAGCCCCGGGGUUCAGAGCAGCAGACGCAUAAACUCAGGCAGGAAGAGCCUCUUUAAUCUCUGCCAAAAGCUGACAUUUCACUAACGGGAGAUUUUGGAAUCGCAGUUCUAAAACCAUUAUAUUACCGAGGCUUUUCCUCUCUUAAAAAAUACUUUUCCUUUUUUUUUUUUUUGUUUUUAAAGUACCCUCCCCCACUUAAAAUUAUGAAUGCGGCCACUCUGUUCAAGAUCAAGACUUGGAGGGAAUUUGGAAAAGAAAAAGAAUCUGGAAGAAACACGGCUGGUGCUUCCGAGGGCGCAUAGUUUUAAGACGGUACCUAAGAGGACUGCGCUAGAUGUUUAGGUGAGAGACGGACUCCUGGGCUUGGCAAGUUGGUAGGGGGAAGUCGCAGGGGGAAUCCACGGGGCUGUGGACUCUAGGACAGAGGGAGCUAGGAGUCUAUAGUUGGCAGCUCCGAGCUAUGCCUUCUGGAGUCUGGAGCAGAGGCGGGGACCCAGGAAUCCUUUUAGCGAUGUUCAGGAUAGGUGCAUUGGCUAGUGGACUGUUCCGGACCCGGAAGAGUCAAGCUGCGCGCCUUAGUGCGGCUCCUAGCCUCGCUGCGGCUCUAAGCCGAGCGGGAAGCAAGUAGGUUCCAGGCACCGCCGUGCGCGGAGCAGCGCUCGGUGUUGGGCGCCCUGGGCUCCUGGGGCCGGGGCGUGGUGUGCUUGCGGAGCAGGAGCCGACCGAGGGCAGAGGAGGCAGGGCGGGGCGGAGCAGUUAUUGGCCAGGCGCUGGAAGAAGGGUCGUGCUCCGAAGUGUCCUCCUCCCGCUAGCUCCCGCCUGCCUCAUUUUCUCUAAGCAGAACAACUUCUCCAACAUCGGUACUCUCCCGUCAUGGACGUUCCAGGUCUGCAGGUGCCUUCCUUCUGAGAAUCAUUUGGCCUUGACCAUCUAAGGCGAGGACCUACCCCAGAGAAAGCUACUACUCUAGCCCUGCGUAUUCCUGUGCGCACCCAGCCAGCCAGCCCUCCGGCUUCUGCAGGCCUUGACCUAUACAGGGCGCCCCCCAGCCCAGAUGCCCGCUCCUGGCCGGGGCCCCAGAGGGCCGCUGCUGAGCAUGCCCGGGCGCCGGGGGGCGCUGCGUGAGCCGGCCGACUUUGGCUCCAGCCUGGGGGCGGCGCUGGCCCUGCUGUUGCUGCUGCUGCCCGCCUGCUGCCCGGUAAAGGCUCAGAACGACACGGAGCCCAUCGUGCUAGAGGGCAAGUGCCUGGUAGUGUGCGAUUCCAGUCCAUCGGGGGAUGGCGCUGUCACUUCUUCCCUGGGCAUAUCUGUGCGCUCAGGCAGUGCCAAGGUGGCCUUCUCCGCUACUCGGAGCACCAACCACGAGCCUUCAGAGAUGAGCAACCGUACCAUGACCAUCUACUUCGACCAGGUUUUAGUAAACAUUGGCAACCACUUUGACCUUGCCUCGAGUAUAUUUGUAGCACCAAGGAAAGGAAUUUAUAGCUUCAGCUUCCACGUGGUCAAAGUGUACAACAGACAAACUAUCCAGGUCAGUUUAAUGCAGAACGGCUACCCGGUGAUCUCUGCCUUUGCUGGAGACCAGGAUGUUACCAGGGAAGCAGCCAGCAAUGGUGUUCUGCUUCUCAUGGAAAGAGAAGACAAAGUUCAUCUCAAACUGGAGAGAGGCAACCUCAUGGGAGGCUGGAAAUACUCCACAUUCUCGGGCUUCUUGGUUUUUCCUCUAUAGACACAGAGCCACCAGGAUGGUGGGAAGGUUUUGAUCAGGACCCAGGGAUCUGCCCCUGUAACACCUUGAACUUGUCUGACUAGGAUGGCUUGGGCCGACUUCCAUCAGAUUAUUGCCGUAGAAGAAUGACUUUCUUCUAAAGCUCCAGUAUUUUCUUUGACUAUUGACAAUUCCUCGGGAACCUGGCCGCUAAUUAGUUUUAGACGACAAGGUCUUAAGGAGAAAUGAAAUUAUUGAUUUGAGCAAUUUGUACCUGUGAUUGUAAAGUCAAUAUCGGAUUUUAUUGUUGGAACCAUUGACUUAACUUCUCUUGUUUGUACAUUGUAUCUUGUCCUGAUGACAUAGAUGCUGCUGACCCUCAGAUGGAUUGCACGCUUCAGUCAGGGCUUCAAGAGCCCAGCAAAGAACCACCUACCAGACAGUCUUUGACCUGUGUUCUGUGUGUGUGUAGCCUUAAGAAAAAGAAUGGCUUCAUUUUCAUUCUGUAGCUUUCCCCUAGGGUUUUGGGGAUAUUGGGAGGGAGCUGGGCAUUGGGAACUUGUCGAAAAGUGCUUUAUCCCGAGAAGCAAAAUUUGCACGAUUGGACUGCAGUUUUUGUUUUGUACCGUCCGUGAUUUUCUUUUUUUCCUCUGGAAGCUUUCCUUCCCUUCCUCAGGUUUCACUCCUCAAACCUACUUAGUUUUCAUGCUGGGGUCUCAGAGAGGGGAAAAAAAGAACAACAAUAACAACAAACAAAACAGAACAAAACUUAAGUUCAGUCCUUGUAUGAGAUCAGAGGAAACAGAACAAAAUCUGCACACUUUGUUUUGGAUAAAGGAAACCGAGAAUGGAAAAAGUCUUUAUUUCAAAAUUAUACUCUGGGAUCCCUUAGUAACCUGGCAUUGCUCUUUGCUCAUGAAUCCCUUAACAAUGGCGGAGCUGACGUGGCCUAAUCCCCUUUGCUUUUCCUCUGGAUAUGUCUCAGUAGUGAGUUAGAGCUGCCUCCGAGUGGCCACACAGUUACAAGGGAUGCUUCAAAGAAACAGGACCAGUGUCUCUUCCUGGAGAUCUUCCUUUGAUCUGUCAAGGAGAGGGUUGUGUUGACUGACUGAUGCUCUGUGGAUGAACAUCUGGCCAGAAGCCACCUGGACUGGAAAUCUCAGCAGUUAAAGGUACUGGCUGCUGUACCCCAAGGGUGGCUUUCCAAACCCUGCUUCUUUUGGCAUCUUGUGCUACAACACUAUUAAGUUGCAACUGUGAGAGACCUGGUGCGGUAUUUGUGUGCCAAGGAAAUGUCACUAAUCCCAAAGCAAUCAAAGAUGUGACCUCAAACUGGAUGUUAAUUUGUCCUUUGUGUAACAAUGUAACCAAAAUAUUGAUGAUAAAACUCAUAAUUUAAGAUUCAGAAUAAAUGGAUUUGACGUC